GCUUACAGCCAUAUCAUGUUGAAAGCACCGGUUCUCGUCCGAUCACCAAAGUUGAGCAAUGUCGAGCCUAGUUAGUACUUAGGUGGGUGACUGCUUGGGAAACCUAGGUGCUGUAAGCG
rnacentral:rRNA from 1 species